GAAGACGAGGAAGAGAAAGAGCAACAAAAGCUUUGGUUGGAAGGGUGAACCUGUCAGGGAGUCUGUUGGUCAGUAUUCUGGGCAAACCAUACCAGGGCAGUGUAGAUGUUAGAGGAGAAUGUAUAGUAGGGAACUUUAAGGAUACAGAAUGAGCCAUGAGACUACCUCUAACUGAAGAGUGAUGAGAAGAUUAUGAUUUUCAUUAGGGGUGUGGCCCUGGUAGGUUGAUCUCACUGCACUGAUGUUCCCACAGGAGUAUUGAUUUAGUUGAAUAUAAUAGAUAAAUAGAAGAUACCAAGUUAGACAGGGGUUGGAAUUAAGGGGGUAGAUAGAUCUGGAAGGAGUUGGGGGAGGAAUCAGAAUGAAUUGUAUAUAAUUCUCAAGGAAUGUAUAAAACCAUUGUUAUUAAAAUAAUAUAAAAAUUGCAAGUCUCAAGUGCCUUUUAACCUCAGUUAAAAUCGAACACAAUUCACCGUGAUGUUUUAUGGGAAUCUCUAUGAAAAAUAGAUCAUACCCUUGACAUGAACACUUUAAGAAAUUAAAUGUGUUAUUUAUCACCCUUCUCAGCAGAACAGAGGAACAAAAAUUUAUGGAAUAUUUGCAUUCUAGUUACUACAGGAAUAUAAUGAAAAAUUAAUUCAGACAGGGGCAAAGGUGUCAAGUAAGAUUAAAAUGUACAUGUUCUGAAUGAUGAAUUAUGGUUCUUUCUCUGCGGUUACAAUACAAUGAGAAAGAACAAAAGGUUCGUGAACAUAUACGACUGUUUGCAAAGCUGUAAUUUAAUCUUUCAAAACAUGAGCUUUAAAGGCCUUUAGUAAUCCCAGAGGAUAGAAAACGUGUUCUCUGAAGAGGCUGUUUACUUAAAUCAUAAACGUGUUUGGUAUGGAAAGCAGAUUUACCUGUGUAGAUUGUAGGUGAACGCUAUAAUUGCAUUAAGUAAUCCACCACUCAGAACUUUAUAUUAGACAGCAUCUGACAGCUUAUUCUAGUCUUUUUCCCUUGCAAAAUGCUUGGAAUUAAAGCAUUUGAUUGACUCUGAACCGAACAAGUGGCAAAGCUGUGUGCUUUUCUAUGUUACAGGAAAGUCAAGACUUGGUGAUUGGCCUGAAAAUGUGAAUUGUGAUUUGUAUGUGGAAUGCCACCAAAGGCUCAGGGGGACAACUUGGUCAUCCCUAGUUUGUGGUACUGUUUGGAAGGUCAUGGAACCUUCAGGAGGUGGAGACAGUGGGCCAGUAGAGGCAGGAUUUGAAGUUUUAGAGUCUGACUUUACUGGGUACCAGGCCUUCCCUGCUGUGGUGGAACACAUUCCUUGAACUGUUAGCCAGGACAAAACCUUGAUUCCUUCUUGCCAAGUAUUUUAUCACAUCAAGGAAACAACCAACAUAGAGAGCAAGAACUAUUCAGGACCAAUAUCCAGGAUGCUGGCUCUGCCUACCAGGCAGGAGUGAGGCUGUUCACUGAGGUGGAGUAUCUACAGGAGACUCAGUUUUUAAGGAAGCUAGUGAGUUUGACAUUCACCACAAGGCUACAGGUGCACAUAAGACAUCUGAGCAUGAGCAAUCCAAACGCAUCAAUCUGAGCUAACUGUGAAUGAUUCAUAUAUAGUCAUCCUCAACCAGAACAGGGACCUUUGUAAUAGCAUUUGGCCCAAGAACAUUAAAAUGUUUCUCAAAGCCUUAGUAAUUUCCUCAGUAGGAACAGGAUCUGUUGACUUUGUAAAGGAGUGUGUGUUCACUGUGGUGACUGUUGCCCUAGAGGGAACUGAGGGAGAAAAUGGCCUCUUCAUUGAUGUUGUCUGACCUCAAGUCAAGACAUGGGGACCUCCAUCUUGUCUCUAUCAUUGUCCAGAGCGUAAUGUGUAGUUGAUAACUAGUUUUUGAAUGAACAAAUAGCUAAGUAGUCUCUCAUCCCACAGCUUUCCCCGAAUCUGUCAUGAUGAUCAGGGGGCACUGCAAAUGCACAGAAUGGAAGCCUGUUGUUGUUGUUGUUGUGUUGCUGUUGUUAAAAGAGUGGCUCUAGGUACUUCUGGGCUUGGGAAAUACAUCAAUCACUGACAUUCACACAAUUCCCCAGUGGCAUAAUUCUGGGGAAAUGAGAGAAAGAAUGAGCAUGGGGAGAGGAGGGAUGGGUGGGGAGAGAGAAGGGAGCUAUAGCUGUAGAUGUCUGGUGUCCUUCCUCCACUUUUCAGGGGUUGAUUCAGCCUGGGUCUGAGACCCUCCUUCAGGUGCUUUUAAAGAUGGAGGUUGGGGGACAAAAACAAAACAAAACAAAACAAAACAAAAAAACAACCAACCAAACAAACAGACAAAAAAGACUUAUCAUCCUUUUCACACUUGCUUUUGAGAAUCCCUCAGGGAUAUAAGCAGUCUGAGGCCUGCCUCCCGCCUUCCACCUCCGCUCGGUUUUUGUUACCUCACAGCCUGGAUAUUUGUGACUAAGCAGCAGUGUGAACAGGCAAGGAACAGCAUGCUUCUCCUAGCAGUGUUUCUGAAGCCUCUCAGAGGACCAACAAGAUCCCAGGGAGUGAGUGUGGUACAUCGUCUUUGCAGGAUGAAGGAUGUGGAGACAGAAGAGAGGUGGGGGGAGCCAAACCUUCGCUCCAUAACAGAUCUUAGCAGAGGCCCCUAGUGUGUCCUGGGUGGGAACGCGGCUGUCAUGCUUCACUCUGGGUUGGGUCAUAGCUUACCCCUGUGUUCCAGCUUCCUUUUUCCUUAAGUCAUUGUUGGCUUCUGUUCUGAUGAGCAGAAAGCUGAAACCGGUCCCUGGAACGCUACCAUCUGGAAAAAGAAGUGGGAAAUUUCUGGAAUAAUCUUCCUGAUGAUGUCUGUGCAUAUUCUUGGGGUCGGUAAUUCUAUUACAGGGGAAAUGAAGAGUGUGGUCAUCACCUAUGGAUGGAAGCUUGCAAAAUCGUUCUUCUGUACAAUGAGAUGGUUAACAUGCUGGGAGAGGAGCUGGGGUUCUGAGGCUGACAGGGCAGUUGCCUCCUCAGAUCGCAGAUCUCAGUAACUAUUUGCAUUGUGUACGGAGGGCUGAGUUGGGUUCAUCUGUUGGUUGUGAAAUGCCAACUAGUUCCUCUCCUAAUUGUUUUGUUCGGAGAGUUCCCAGGUCCCGUCUUCAACAGCUGGAUAAAGGCUCCAUCGGGUAUCUCCUCUCGCCCCCAAAUUCUGGUGGAUUUAUCACCUGAGUUAAAAUUAUCCUCUCCCCCAAAAAGACCCCAGAGAUUUAAGCUGUUUAAACAUCAGCCAAAGCUAGCAGAUUUAAUUUCAGUGGAUGAGUGAGGGGUCGUGCUGGAAACCAACCACUUUAAGAGUGACCAAAGGAGGAGGCUUAAUCAGAGAGCCCAGAGCAGCGCUGCAAUCUCAGGAUGCAGUGGUAGGGGGUGGGGGCAGGGGCCUCGUCUCUUUGGAGACGCACCUGUUGUUUUGCAAGCCGAGAGUUCAUUUACUGAAGUGUCUCUGAGGAGUCUGAUUGGGUUUUCCUGCUUCCAUUCUGGGCUCUGGUGCUUGAUUUCACUUUGUGAGGUUCUCAGGAGGCAGGUGCAUCCCAUCUGCAGACUUUGCGGUUGGCUGCAGGGCGACACAUUCUCAUUAAGGCGGCUCCUGUUUAGAUGCCCGGGACUUCCUACUUCAGUCUUUGCAUCUCUCCCCUCGCUGAUCUCAGUGACUUUUGAUGAGUUUUAUAUUCUCUUGUUCUCAAUUCUCCUGUAUUCCACUAGUAUGGGCCAUGGUAAUUAUUUAUUCCUCUUCUAGCCUAUUGGAUGGUGAACAGGAACCAGGGAAAGCCAACAACUCCAUUUUCUACUGGAAAAACGCCCAGGGACUGGUCCUGAGAGAUAGCCUCACACUCACUGGUUCCUGAACAAGAGGGUAUCAUUCAUCGUGGGCACCUUGGACUGUGCCUGAAUGCUGAUGAGAUGAUUCAGGAUGGAGGUUGGCUAUGGCAGAAAGAUUAAUCACUCCAUUCAAAGUUUGUCACUUUGGGCGUGUGGUGUAGGCCAACCUCUGGGAUCUGGGGUCUAAUGACAUUACACAGCGUAUCAAUCAAUUGUGCUGUGGAAUUUAAACAACCCGAAGACUGGAUUUGGCUUCCUCAUUAAUGGUUGCCUGGUGGACAAAGACUCUGCCUGUGUGUGCAACCCUUCCGGACCAUGCCCCGUUGGUCUUGGUUUGUGUUCUUUGAGUUUUCAGAGCCAUCUAAGGGAUUGCUGAGCCUGAGGAGGUAGGACGAACUUCUUUUUUUAAAAAUUUAUUUAUUUAUUAUAUAUGAGCACACUGUAGCUGUCUUCAGAAACACCAGAAGAGGACAUCGGAUCCAUCCCUGUGACAGAAGGUGGUGAGCCAUCAUGUGGCUGCUGGGAUUUGAACUCAGGACCUCUGGAAGAGCAGUCAGUGCUCUUAACCGCUGAGCCAUCUCUCCAGCCCUAGGACGAACUUCUAAAUUAUCCAGUUUAUAAGAAAGUGCAAGGGAAGGGGCUUCCUGGCACUUGUGAGGUAACAUCUGAGGCAGGUGAAGGGUUGUUGGAACGGUGACCAGAAACUUCAGAGUCUAUGGGAAUUCUACUUGGGUUGGGUUGGGAUCGCGUGGCUAUGGUCGCCUCUACUUGCUCCCCACUAUGCCAUGGACUUAUUACCUAAGUUUGAGUUCUUAUGGCAUUAUACAUAUGCAGUACAACUCAUACCAGAUUUAAACAGUACACUCAAAUAUGCAAAGAAAAUGUUGCCCAUACAAUCGGUUUUAUUUAUCUAACAAUCUCCACUUUUGCUCUCAGCCAUUGAAUUGUGUGAGGAAAAACAAACAAACAAACAAACAAAAAAACGAAUGGAACCUGAGCUUGGUAACUUACAAUACGGAGCCAUUUUUAAUAAACACAUUCCCUUAUGACUCUGGCUGUUUGGAGCACACUGGCAGUAACCCUCCUCCCCCUUUACCUCUGGUUCAUUUAUUUGGGGUUAGAACAAGAGCCUCUAUGCAGUGACAGAAUAGAGGACUCAAAUCCUUGGAGACUUGAGCAAGAGUGGACCAUGCCCUGAGGUAGCAUCCUCUGUCCUAGCCACAAUCACUCCAAAGGACCAAAAGUCCAGGGAGCUGGGAGAUUUGCCCACUGAAUUCUAAACCUUCACUUCUGUGCCUCACUUCAGCUAUCCAAAGCAUUGGAGCAGUUUCCCUUGCUUUCUCCUGCCCACUUCCAGGGCCUGUGCAGGUUUCCUCCUGCUUCAUUCUCCACAGGGUGGGCCUCACAGCCAGAUCUACACCUUAGGGUCUGUAGUCUGGGUUCUGCCUAUUUGGGUUCACCUUCCACACACACAGCUGGGUAUAGGAAGAGAUAAGGGGAAUAUGAGUCCAAGAGUGCAUUUGUAUUCUUUUGGCUUUGGGCACACUGUGAAUGCUCUGGGUUAGCUCUUAGACAGGCAACCAUUGAGGUGUCAGGCCUUUUGUGAUGAUGUAGGGAGAUCUGCCCCUGGGUUCUAUGGUCCUUGAUACAUAUUAUCAGUAGUGGUGCCCAUGGGCACAGGGUUUGUCAAGCCUGACUCUAAGACUCAAUCGGCAAACCUUUCUUCUGCCUCCUUACUUAAACACAGGGGAACUUCUAGAACCCCUACAUACUAUACCCACGUCAUGGGAAGAGUGCUGUCUUUCCAUUUUAGAUGGAAUUCACAUGGGAAGCCUUUAUUGCAGUUGCAUCAUCCAGAACACAGUCCGCAUGUGCCAUGCAGAAAUUCUAGAAGUUUCCCUAUAUAGUAGAACUUAUCGUUGUUAUCAGUAGUGUGGUCAUGGGUGUGUGAUACUAGGGCACCUGUGAGACCCGAGGACAACUUUGUCUCUCUACCUUUAUGUGGCUAGUAAGGAUUGAACUCAGGUUUUAAGGCUUGUGCAGCAAGCACCCCCACCCUCCAUGCUGUCUUUCUGGUCCUCAUCGUGAACCAGAAAAGAACUUAUUUUCAAUCGAGCUGUGCAAUCGAGUACACAUCAGGUUUCCAGGGCCGAGGCAAAAGAAUGACAUGCCUUGUUUUCAAUAGAUUGUGUGAGGAAAUAGUCCGGGAUGUAUUGGGUUUUAAAUAAAAAGCGUUACUGAAAU
rnacentral:sRNA from 1 species